rnacentral:rRNA from 1 species
GACGAACGCUGGCGGCGUGCUUAACACAUGCAAGUCGAACGGAAAGGCCCUGCUUUUGUGGGGUGCUCGAGUGGCGAACGGGUGAGUAACACGUGAGUAACCUGCCCUUGACUUUGGGAUAACUUCAGGAAACUGGGGCUAAUACCGGAUAGGAGCUCCUGCUGCAUGGUGGGGGUUGGAAAGUUUCGGCGGUUGGGGAUGGACUCGCGGCUUAUCAGCUUGUUGGUGGGGUAGUGGCUUACCAAGGCUUUGACGGGUAGCCGGCCUGGGAGGGUGACCGGCAACGUUAGGACUGAGAUGCGGCCCAGACUCCUACGGGAGGCAGCAGUGGGGAAUAGUGCACAAUGGGCGGAAGCCUGAUGCAGCAACGCCGCGUGCGGGAUGACGGCCUUCGUGUUGUAAACCGCUUUCGCCUGUGACGAAGCGUGAGUGACGGUAAUGGGUAAAGAAGCACCGGCUAACUACGUG